rnacentral:rRNA from 1 species
UCAAGCUACAAAGGGCGCAUGGUGAAUGCCUUGGCAUCAGGAGCCGAUGAAGGACGUGAUAAGCUGCGAUAAGCUUCGGGUAGGCGCACAUAGCCUGAGAUCCGAAGAUCUCCGAAUGAGGAAACUCACAUGGGAAACCCCAUGUAUCAUUAAGUGAAUACAUAGCUUAAUGAAGGUAACCUAGGGAACUGAAACAUCUAAGUACCUGGAGGAAGAGAAAGAAAAAUCGAUUUUCUUAGUAGCGGCGAGCGAAAGGGAAAGAGCCCAAACCGGAAACUUGUUUCCGGGGUUGUGGACAUAACAUAAAAGUGGAGGCUAUUGUAACUGAAGAGAACUGGAAAGUUCCACCGUAGAAGGUAAUAGUCCUGUAAGUGAAACGAGAAGACCACGAGUUAUGAUCCAGAGUACCACGAGACACGUGAAACCUUGUGGGAAGCAGGGAGGACCACCUCCCAAGGCUAAAUACUACCUGAUGACCGAUAGUGAAGCAGUACCGUGAGGGAAAGGUGAAAAGAACCCCGGGAGGGGAGUGAAAUAGAACCUGAAACCGUGUGCCUACAACCGCUCAGAGCCCCUUAUGAGGGUGAUGAGGUGCUUUUUGUAGAACGAGCCAACGAGUUACGGUAUGUAGCAAGGUUAAGUACUUAAGGUACGGAGCCGAAGGGAAACCGAGUCUGAAUAGGGCGACUAGUUGCAUGCCGUAGACCCGAAACCGGGUGACCUAUCCAUGGCCAGGUUGAAGCGAGGGUAAAACCUCGUGGAGGACCGAACCACGUUGCUGUUGAAAAAGCAUGGGAUGAGCUGUGGAUAGCGGAGAAAUUCCAAUCGAACCCGGAGAUAGCUGGUUCUCUCCGAAAUAGCUUUAGGGCUAGCGUCGAGUAUGAGUAGUGGAGGUAGAGCACUGAAUGGGCUAGGGGGCAUAGCGCUUACCGAACCUUAUCAAACUCCGAAUGCCACAUACUUUGAGCUCGGCAGUCAGACUACGAAUGAUAAGAUCCGUGGUCAAAAGGGAAACAGCCCAGAUCGUCAGCUAAGGUCCCAAAGUGUAAGUUAAGUGGGAAAGGAUGUGAGAUUUCUAAGACAACUAGGAUGUUGGCUUAGAAGCAGCCAUUCAUUAAAAGAGUGCGUAAUAGCUCACUAGUCGAGAGAUCUUGCGCCGAAAAUGUAACGGGGCUAAACUUACCACCGAAGCUACGGGCUUGAACUUAGUUCAAGCGGUAGGAGAGCGUCGUAACCGGGCUGAAGUCGUACCGUAAGGAGCGGUGGACUGGUUACGAGUGAGAAUGUUGGCAUCAGUAGCGAGAUGUGGGUGAGAAUCCCACAGGCCGAAAACCUAAGGUUUCCUCAGGAAGGUUCGUCCGCUGAGGGUUAGUCGGGACCUAAGCCGAGGCCGAAAGGCGUAGGUGAUGGACAACUGGUUGAUAUUCCAGUACCACUACCAUCGUUAUUAUCGAUGGCGUGACGCAGGAGGAUAGUGUGUGCUAGCUAUUGGAUGCUAGUCUAAGCGUUUAGGCAGUGAGAGUAGGCAAAUCCGCUCUCAUAAUGCUGAGGCGUGAUGGGGAAGGUUCUACGGAACCGAAGUACAUGAUUCCACGCUGCCAAGAAAAGCGUCUAGAGAGAGAAGUAGUGCCCGUACCGCAAACCGACACAGGUAGGUGAGGAGAGAAUCCUAAGGCCGGCGGAAGAAUUACAGUUAAGGAACUCGGCAAAUUGACCCCGUAAGUUCGCGAGAAGGGGUGCCUACGAGAGUAGGCCGCAGAGAAUAGGCCCAAGCAACUGUUUAGCAAAAACACAGGUCUCUGCUAAAGCGUAAGCUGAUGUAUAGGGGCUGACGCCUGCCCGGUGCUGGAAGGUUAAGGGGAACACUUAGCGCAAGCGAAGGUGUGAACUUAAGCCCCAGUAAACGGCGGCCGUAACUAUAACGGUCCUAAGGUAGCGAAAUUCCUUGUCAGGUAAGUUCUGACCCGCACGAAUGGCGUAAUGACUUGGGCACUGUCUCAACUGUAAAUCCGGCGAAGUUGUAGUGCGAGUGAAGAUGCUCGCUACCCGCGAUUGGACGGAAAGACCCCGUAGAGCUUUACUGUAGCUUAGCAUUGAGUUUUGGUAUUGUCUGUACAGGAUAGGUGGGAGACUAGGAAACCAGGGCGUCAGCCUUGGUGGAGUCAACCUUGGGAUACCACCCUGACAGUACUGAAAUUCUAACUGGCGGCCAUGAAUCUGGUCACAGGACAUUGUUAGGUGGGCAGUUUGACUGGGGCGGUCGCCUCCUAAAAAGUAACGGAGGCGCCCAAAGGUUCCCUCAGAACGGUCGGAAAUCGUUCGAAGAGUGCAAAGGCAGAAGGGAGCCUGACUGCGACACCCACAAGUGGAGCAGGGACGAAAGUCGGGCUUAGUGAUCCGGUGGUACCUCGUGGGAGGGCCAUCGCUCAACGGAUAAAAGCUACCUCGGGGAUAACAGGCUGAUCUCCCCCAAGAGUCCACAUCGACGGGGAGGUUUGGCACCUCGAUGUCGGCUCGUCGCAUCCUGGGGCUGAAGUAGGUCCCAAGGGUUGGGCUGUUCGCCCAUUAAAGCGGCACGCGAGCUGGGUUCAGAACGUCGUGAGACAGUUCGGUCCCUAUCCGUCGCGGGCGUAGGAAAUUUGAGAGGAGCUGUCCUUAGUACGAGAGGACCGGGAUGGACUGACCUCUGGUGUACCAGUUGUUCCGCCAGGAGCACAGCUGGGUAGCUAAGUCGGGAAUGGAUAAACGCUGAAAGCAUCUAAGCGUGAAGCCAACCUCAAGAUGAGAUUUCCCAUAGCGUAAGCUAGUAAGAUCCCUUGAAGAACACAAGGUUGAUAGGUCGGGGGUGUAAGCAUGGUAACAUGUUCAGCUGACCGAUACUAAUAGAUCGAGGGCUUGACCAA